rfam:TPA: Bos taurus chromosome 8, whole genome shotgun sequence.
UCCCUGGUGGCUCAGAGGUUAAAGCGUCUGCCUCCAAUGCAGGAGACCUGGUUCGAUCCCUGGGUUCGAUCCCUGGGUUGGGAA